rnacentral:lncRNA from 1 species
AAAGAAAAACAUGAAUCCUCCAGAUAGCUGAAUAGCUCUGCAGGAUAUUUUUCUGUUUGCUUGGUUCCCACUGCUCCUCCUAUGACCUGUCAAAAGAUAAUAACAGCAAAAAACACCACAGAGGUUGGAGAGCCAGCUCAGCAGGUAACAGUGCUGGCUGCUCUUCCAGAGGACCUGGCUUCUCUUCCCAGCACCCAUGUCAGAUGGUUCACAACAGCCUGUGACUCCAGAAUCCCCCAGCUCCCAUGGUGGGCACACACACGCACAUGAAU